rnacentral:rRNA from 1 species
ACAAGCGGUGGAGUAUGUGGUUUAAUUCGAUGCAACGCGAAGAACCUUACCUGUCUUGACAUCCCGGAGACCCUUAGGAAACUAGGGGUGCUUCCAUCUGGAAGAAUCUGGAGACAGGUGCUGCAUGGCUGUCGUCAGCUCGUGUCGUGAGAUGUUGGGUUAAGUCCCGCAACGAGCGCAACCCUUGCCUUUAGUUGCCAGCAGUUCGGCUGGGCACUCUAAAGGGACUGCCGGUGUUAAACCGGAGGAAGGUGGGGAUGACGUCAAGUCCUCAUGGCCUUUAUGACCAGGGCUACACACGUACUACAAUGGCCGAUACAAAGGGCAGCGACACUGCGAGGUGAAGCCAAUCCCGUAAAAUCGGUCUCAGUCCGGAUUGGAGUCUGCAACUCGACUCCAUGAAGUUGGAAUCGCUAGUAAUCGUGGAUCAGCAUGCCACGGUGAAUACGUUCCCGGGCCUU